rnacentral:rRNA from 1 species
UGGUGGGUAGUUUGACUGGGGCGGUCUCCUCCCAAAGAGUAACGGAGGAGCACGAAGGUUGGCUAAUCCUGGUCGGACAUCAGGAGGUUAGUGCAAUGGCAUAAGCCAGCUUGACUGCGAGCGUGACGGCGCGAGCAGGUGCGAAAGCAGGUCAUAGUGAUCCGGUGGUUCUGAAUGGAAGGGCCAUCGCUCAACGGAUAAAAGGUACUCCGGGGAUAACAGGCUGAUACCGCCCAAGAGUUCAUAUCGACGGCGGUGUUUGGCACCUCGAUGUCGGCUCAUCACAUCCUGGGGCUGAAGUAGGUCCCAAGGGUAUGGCUGUUCGCCAUUUAAAGUGGUACGCGAGCUGGGUUUAGAACGUCGUGAGACAGUUCGGUCCCUAUCUGCCGUGGGCGCUGGAGAAUUGAGGGGGGCUGCUCCUAGUACGAGAGGACCGGAGUGGACGCAUCACUGGUGUUCGGGUUGUCAUGCCAAUGGCACUGCCCGGUAGCUAAAUGCGGAAGAGAUAAGUGCUGAAAGCAUCUAAGCACGAAACUUGCCCCGAGAUGAGUUCUCCCUGAGACUUUAAGUCUCCUGAAGGAACGUUAAAGACGAUGACGUUGAUAGGUCG